rnacentral:rRNA from 1 species
CCGGCGACAAGUCGGAGGAAGUGGGGAUGACGUCAAAUCAUCAUGCCCCUUAUGACCUGGGCUACACACGUGCUACAAUGGGCGGUACAAAGGGCUGCGAACCCGCGAGGGGGAGCGAAUCCCAAAAAGCCGCUCUCAGUUCGGAUUGCAGGCUGCAACUCGCCUGCAUGAAGCCGGAAUCGCUAGUAAUCGCGGAUCAGCAUGCCCGCGGUCCGUAAUACGUUCCGGGCCUU